UACGUAGGGGGCAAGCGUUGUCCGGAAUCAUUGGGCGUAAAGAGCGCGUAGGCGGCCCAGUAAGUCCGCUCUGAAAGUCAGGGGCUCAACCCCUGAAUGCGGGUGGAUACUGCUGGGCUAGAGUCCGGAAGAGGCGAGUGGAAUUCCUGGUGUAGCGGUGAAAUGCGCAGAUAUCAGGAAGAACACCGAUGGCGAAGGCAGUGGUCUGGGCCGAUACUGACGCUGAGGAGCGAAAGCGUGGGGAGCGAACAGG
rnacentral:rRNA from 1 species